AUUGAACGCUGGCGGCAUGCUUUACACAUGCAAGUCGAACGGUAACAGGUUAAGCUGACGAGCGGCGAACGGGUGAGUAAUGCAUCGGAACGUGCCCGGUCGUGGGGGAUAACGCAGCGAAAGCUGCGCUAAUACCGCAUACGAUCUGAGGAUGAAAGCGGGGGACCGUAAGGCCUCGCGCGAUCGGAGCGGCCGAUGUCAGAUUAGGUAGUUGGUGGGGUAAAGGCCCACCAAGCCGACGAUCUGUAGCUGGUCUGAGAGGACGACCAGCCACACUGGGACUGAGACACGGCCCAGACUCCUACGGGAGGCAGCAGUGGGGAAUUUUGGACAAUGGGCGAAAGCCUGAUCCAGCAAUGCCGCGUGCAGGAAGAAGGCCUUCGGGUUGUAAACUGCUUUUGUACGGAGCGAAAAGGUCCUUUCUAAUACAAGGGGCUCAUGACGGUACCGUAAGAAUAAGCAUCGGCUAACUACGUGCCAGCCGCCGCCGUAA
rnacentral:rRNA from 1 species